rnacentral:rRNA from 1 species
GGUGAACGCUGGCGGUAGGCCUAACACAUGCAAGUCGAACGGCAGCACAGUAAGAGCUUGCUCUUACGGGUGGCGAGUGGCGGACGGGUGAGGAAUACAUCGGAAUCUACUUUUUCGUGGGGGAUAACGUAGGGAAACUUACGCUAAUACCGCAUACGACCUACGGGUGAAAGCAGGGGAUCUUCGGACCUUGCGCGAUUGAAUGCGCCGAUGUCGGAUUGGCUAGUUGGCGGGGUAAAGGCCCACCAAGGCGACGAUCCGUAGCUGGUCUGAGAGGAUGAUCAGCCACACUGGAACUGAGACACGGUCCAGACUCCUACGGGAGGCAGCAGCGGGGAAUAUUGGACAAUGGGCGCAAGCCUGAUCCAGCCAUACCGCGUGGGUGAAGAAGGCCUUCGGGUUGUAAAGCCCUUUUGUUGGGAAAGAAAAGCAGCAGGUUAAUACCCCGCUGUUCUGACGGUACCCAAAGAAUAAGCACCGGCUAACUUCGUG